UUCUUCGGAGAGUUUGAUCCUGGCUCAGGACGAACGCUGGCGGCGUGCCUAAUACAUGCAAGUCGAGCGAAUCGACGGGAGCUUGCUCCCUGAGAUUAGCGGCGGACGGGUGAGUAACACGUGGGCAACCUGCCUAUAAGACUGGGAUAACUUCGGGAAACCGGAGCUAA
rnacentral:rRNA from 1 species